rnacentral:rRNA from 1 species
AGAGUUUGAUCCUGGCUCAGAUUGAACGCUGGCGGCACGCUUAACACAUGCAAGUCGAACGGUUUCAGGAAGCUUGCUUUCUGGAAUAGUGGCGGACGGGUGAGUAAUACGUAGGAAUCUGCCUUAGAGAGGGGGAUAACUCGGGGAAACUCGAGCUAAUACCGCAUAGAAUCGGUGACGAGAGUUACUGAGGAAAGGAG